rnacentral:rRNA from 1 species
UACGAAGGGGGCUAGCGUUGCUCGGAAUCACUGGGCGUAAAGGGUGCGUAGGCGGGUUUUUAAGUCAGGGGUGAAAUCCUGGAGCUCAACUCCAGAACUGCCUUUGAUACUGAGAAGCUUGAGUCCGGGAGAGGUGAGUGGAACUGCGAGUGUAGAGGUGAAAUUCGUAGAUAUUCGCAAGGACACCAGUGGCGAAGGCGGCUCACUGGCCCGGUACUGACGCUGAGGUGCGAAAGCGUGGGGAGCAAACAGG